UUGUCAUGAGGUUAAAACCCGCCUCAGCUCCAGCUAGUUUGUAUACACUGUACCAAACAAAAACAGGAAAAGAUACUUUUUUGUAGGUAUCAAGCACUUCAAGACUCAAAGAAUCAAAGAAUCAAGCACCUUGUGUCUUCUGUACGUUGGCAGACGAGCAUUUGCACUUGCUAUUAAAACCUGCAGCAAAUUUAAAAAUGAUGCAAAUUUAAAAGUAGAAAGAAACGUCCAAAAGGCAUUGCAAAGAAGAAAAAAAAGACAUGUAUAGAGGAAGAAGGGGACACUGAAGGGCAGGUGGGGUAAGCUGGAUGUAAGAGCGUGAUGAGGACAGGUAAACACAGAGGGAAAGGUAGAAUGAGUAAAUAUAAAUAAAUACUGAAAAAAACAUUUAGCUAUCAAGCUAUCACUGCUGUAUCUGCAAAGACUGAUAUAGUCAGUCAGUAAAGAUACAUUUUUCCUUUUUAUUAUAUCUUGUGCAAAUUCUGAUGGACCUGCACAUUUAAAAAAACAUCCGAUAAAGAUCUGCACAGUCAUUCCUCGGAAGUCGGGGCUUACCAGAAACAGACAAAAGAACAAAAGUGAAAGUAAGAAACCCUAUCCUAUAAAAAGCUGGACCAGCCUGCACAUUUGCAGAGUCACUCCAGAACAUCCAGAGCAUCACAAGAAAAGUAGCACUGAGGACAAUCUCAACUUUCUGAAAUCUUACCAACCUCGAAACAAAGAAGUCAAACAUCUCAGGAUGUCCAGUUUCGUGAACUCUGUUGACAGUGCUUUGAGAGGCAUUGUUACAGAUCGAGCUGAGACGGAUGCGACCUCUGGGAAAAGCUUCACCCUAAAGUACAAAACAUACAAAAUCGAAAAAAGAUCAAGAGAGCUUCUAUUCUAUUGUUUUCAAUGACAUCAUGGGCCUUGAGAAUAACGCCAACAAUGGAGUCCAUGUGGAAGAUAUCAAACUGGCCCUGCGGGACAUGUGAGAGAUAACAAAGCUUCCUAUGGAGUGAGCCACAAAGAGCAGCUCGUGCAAAUAAAAAACAAUCAUCUCCGUCCUGCGUA